rnacentral:lncRNA from 1 species
GCCGGUCAGUGACCUGGCUGACAACUGUAGGAUGUUGGCUGUACUGCCCUUCUUUGUGUAGAUUUGGUUGACCAUGGCUUGAGCAAUUUGAAUGGUGAAGACGAGGGCGUUGUUGUGUGGCAAAUCAAGGCUGAUUAUGUCACAUCCCGGGAUCGGCACCGCCGUAGCACGGUAUUGUCCACUUUGGGCCCCCUUCUCUGUCCUCACGGUUUUGUUUCUGGGAAAUCACGAGCAACUUCCUAGUGGGUCACCCAUCCUG